UUUAUUUUAUUUCUUUGGUUGUUUAGUUUACAAAAAAGGAUCUGUCUCUUCCAAAUUUAUAUGUAAAUAGUAUUUUUCAAUCUAUAUGGACACAGAAUAAUUAUUUUGAUAGAAGUGAUUCUUCACUAAUAUAUUUGUUAUUUGGCUUUCCUGAAUCUCCUGUAACUAAUAUUGUAACUGAAAUAAGCCAUUCUGAUAUAUACAUAUAUAUGUAUAUGAAUGAGGAAAUGACUAGCGAUGAUUGGUGGUUUAUUAAAAGGAUUUUUUUUUAUUAACUAGCUGUGUGCAGUGAACCUAAUUUCUUUCUUUUUACAACUUCCCUUCUAUUACAAGCUGUUAAGCUCAGAGCCUAGAUCAGCUAAACAGCAGACUCAGUAACAGUAAAUGAAGUGCUGUGAGUUUACAUCAGACUAAUUAGUCUAAGGGAUUAAAAAAAAGGGGGUGGGGGUGGGGGAAGGGCUUGGGAGGACUUUUCAGGUUGCUUUGUGAAAGGCAGUUUGCUUAAUUAAGCCAACCACUAAUUGUUAAAUAUUUUUUAGGCAUUAACAGAGCUACUCUGAGUGUAAUUAAAUUUUGAUUUUAGUGGUAUUUGCCAGGAUUAAAGUCACAAUCUGCUGAGGCACUGGGGUUAGUUAAUAUUCACUUCACUGCCACAGCUGUCCUCCAUUACAAUACAAAGGACAGGAAAAGAGACAGCAGAGUGGGGGUGAAGUCAUGAGAAAGCUAUUCAUUCAUCUGAACCAGCUCUGUACUCCACAGCCUUGUGCAAAUGGGUCUGAGCUGGAUGACACACCACCAGGCAUUAAAUCCAAUUUAAUUUGAUACAAUGAAGGGAUAUCUAAGCCCUGCACGUUUUUUAUUUUUAUACAUGAGACUACGGAAUGUAUUUAAAAAGUCAUCAUGUGAUUAUCAUAUGUUUCCAUCCAAGUAAUAUUUCUGGAUUUAUUAGCUCUGUAGGAGUCCACCAGGAUUGUAAACCAAUUCGUGCUAGGCCAUUAUUUGUAGCAGCUGAGCAUGAAUGAGGGCUGUGGAGGGUGGUGGUGACUUUAAAUCCCUGGUAAAAUCUAACCUGGCAUGAUCAAUGUUUUGAGGUUUUUUUGGUGUGGUUUUUUUUUUUUUUUUUUUGGACCAAGACUGCCAAAAAGAAAAACCAAUGGGGUUAUAUGCGCUUGAGAUGGUUGAAGCUCAGCAUUCUUCCCAUGAUUGACAAGGAACAUUUCCACUGCUGACUCGUAACAUUGCUGGCGAUUCCUGUGUUUUUUGGUCAUUUUAAUAUUUUAAUUAAAUAGCUUUAAGCAAUGCCUCGCAGUUAUUCCAUACUCUGGGUAAGCAUAAGAAAUCAUUUUGUCCUCUGUUCCACUCCCCCCACUCCACAAAAUAAGCUAAUCAAGAAAGUGUUCAAUUAUUACACUGGCUAUUAAUAGUAGAACUUUCAGAAUAAUCUACAAUGUAGGGUCCCUGCAUCCACACAGAGGCCAUCUGUGGUAUUAGGCUCACCAUAUAUACAAAACACCAGCCUUGGAACUAGCUUUCCAAUACAAGUUAGGACUGGAUGUAUUAAGUGUGAGGGAUCAAGUUGCUUAUGUCUUAUUUAGGCAAAAAAAAACUUUAUUUAAAAAAAAGUCACCAAGAACUGGUGUUUACCUUGACAUUAGAAUAAAGAGAAUGAAAAUGAAAAAUAAAAAGGGAGAGAAAGCGCUGGGCACAGUGGCUCAUACCUGUAAUCCCAGCACUUUGGGAGGCCGAGGUGGGUGGACCACGAGGUCAAGAGAUUGAGGCCACCCUGGCCAAUAAGGUGAAACCCCGUCUCUACUAAAAAUACAAAAAAAUUAGCCGGGCAAGGUGGCGGACGCCUGUAGUCCCAGCUACUCAGGAGGCUGAGGCAGGAGACUCACUUGAACCUGGGAGGCGGAGGUUGCAGUGAGCCAAGAUUCUGCCACUGCACUCCAGCCUGGUGACAGAGUGAGACUCCGUCUCAAAAAAAAAAAAAAAUAGAAAAAAAAAAAAAAAAGAGGGAGAAAAAGGAAGAAAAAAGGAACUGAAAGGAAAAGAAAGAGAAGACAAAAGAAAUAAAGAAAACAGAUCAAUCUAGCAAACUUUCAUCUCAAGGGAAUUUGAAGUCAGCAUUUCUAUUCAUAAUCAAACAAGUUCAAAGACCAACUCGUUUGUAUUAGUCAUAUCUUCUGUAAUCUCAUUGAAUUAUUUUAUAGUGAACCCUACAUUUGAGUUUGUGCUUUAAUAAAAAUUACUGUCUGACUGUUUCUGCAGGCAAAGUGAAGUGGAGAGAUGAGUGGAUUAUAUAGGGCAAACACCUUGAAUUUCAAUUAAUAUUAGCAUAAUUUAAUUCUAGUGUUAAGAUGACCUUGGCCCAAAGGACUGGGUGAUUUUUUUAAGGGGCUUUUAUUUUCACAUGAAGCCCCCACUCAGCAACUGCAAAACAAUUUCUAUAGGAUAGGUCAAAGCUUCCUACUGAAAAGAACACUAUGUAGUACUUUAGGAAGAAAUUUAACUGAAAGCAACAAGCAUUAACCAUACAAUCCAAAUAUGCUGUGUAAAUAUCUCACAAUGCCUCAAUCUCUUGGGUCUGUAAAUGACUAGAGGUGACAGAACAUUCUUCUCCCUACAUUAGUAAUGCCUCUGCUGUGUGACACUUUCUUCUACCUGCUGACAUAGAAAACUCUCCUGGUGCCUUAGAUGGCCAUGUGGUGGUCAUUUCUUACUCCCCUCCUUUUACUUUCUUAGAUGGCUGCAGAGUUUUCAUUUAAAACUUUUAAUCUUAGCAAAGGAAAUAGCUCUUUAUUUCCUAUACUGCAGUUACAUUAAUAAAUGAAUUAAUUAAACAAACAAAAAACAAAACCACUCCCAAGCAGGGCAUUUUUCUCUUUUGCCAUCUUCUUGUUACUAGUCUCAUGGGCUAAUCACCACCCCCAGUCCCAAGGGAAACUGCAAUUUUCUAGUUAUUUGUAUUUCAGAUCUGGAAGCCCUUCUCUUUACCACCCUUUGGCUGGGGAGCAGGAACAGACAUUCUUCUUUGCUUCAGGGUACUUUACCCUCAAUAUAUUAUCCAAAUAAAAAUCUAAGCAAGAGAGACAAAAUCCAAUGAUUUCCAUGUAUAAUAAUAAUAUUCACUAUUACCAUCCCUUAGAUGCAAAGAUAAAGCCUCUGAUUCACCAUCUAAAAGGGGCACAUGCUUUUAUUCUCAAGAGACAGAAGCCUAGAUGUGUUAUGCUAAUCAGACCACAGUCCUCUUUGUUGGUUCCUUGCAAAGAACAACUGUGGACAAUUUUAGGAUGGCUUUUCAUGAAUGGGGUGUCCCAUUACCAUGAAAAACACCAAAGCUAGCUAGCUACCCACACAGCAUAGAUAGUAGCCAUCUCUAUGCUUAAACUAAAGAAUCAUGCUUCAAUAAACUGAGCUACUUAUUCACAGACAGGGUUGAAUUGACUCUGGUUCACACUGUCCAAAUUCAUGAAGGAAAAUUUCCAUUUGCCUAUGGAAAUACAAACCUGUCUGAUUUAUAAUUUGCAGUUGCCAUCAUGAUAUAAUAUAAGCUUACAAAGUAGAGUUUGCUUGAUAUUCCAGAUCUCUUCCAACCAAACCGAUACAUUAAUGUUUCACUCUUUGCUGGAGUUUACUUUAAAAGCCUCCCUUUCCCUUCAACAUUAUCAAUCUUUCCUACUCAUCUCUGUUUAAUAGGUUUAAGAACAACUUGGGCAAUAUUUGGAUUACUAUU
rnacentral:lncRNA from 10 species